AUUGAACGCUGGCGGCAGGCCUAACACAUGCAAGUCGAGCGGAUGAUGGGAGCUUGCUCCUGGAUUCAGCGGCGGACGGGUGAGUAAUGCCUAGGAAUCUGCCUGGUAGUGGGGGACAACGUUUCGAAAGGAACGCUAAUACCGCAUACGUCCUACGGGAGAAAGCAGGGGACCUUCGGGCCUUGCGCUAGCAGAUGAGCCUAGGUCGGAUUAGCUAGUAGGUGAGGUAAAGGCUCACCUAGGCGACGAUCCGUAACUGGUCUGAGAGGAUGAUCAGUCACACUGGAACUGAGACACGGUCCAGACUCCUACGGGAGGCAGCAGUGGGGAAUAUUGGACAAUGGGCGAAAGCCUGAUCCAGCCAUGCCGCGUGUGUGAAGAAGGUCUUCGGAUUGUAAAGCACUUUAAGUUGGGAGGAAGGGCAGUAAGUUAAUACCUUGCUGUUUUGACGUUACCGACAGAAUAAGCACCGGCUAACUUCGUGCCAGCCGCCGCGGUAACAC
rnacentral:rRNA from 1 species